UGGUGGAGUGAUUUGUCUGGUUAAUUCCGAUAACGAACGAGACUCUGUCCUGCUAAAUAGGCCCGACCUUUUUCUUUUCUU
rnacentral:rRNA from 1 species